rnacentral:rRNA from 1 species
UACGUAGGGUCCGAGCGUUGUCCGGAAUUAUUGGGCGUAAAGAGCUCGUAGGCGGUCCGUUAAGUCGGAAGUGAAAUCUCAAGGCUCAACCUUGAAAUCGCUUUCGAUACUGGCGGACUUGAGGCAGGUAGGGGAAGGUGGAAUUCCUGGUGUAGCGGUGAAAUGCGCAGAUAUCAGGAGGAACACCGGUGGCGAAGGCGGGUCUCUGGGCAACAACUGACGCUGAGGAGCGAAAGCGUGGGGAGCGAACAGG